UCCCACCGACAGAGUGCUGGGGAGCGGCAGCAGCCACCACAGCGGUAGAAGCAGCAAUUUAUCUGUGUGCAGACCCAAUAUUGGAAGAAGAUGCUAAUUAAAGUGAAGAUGACCGGAAAGAAGGAGAUUGAGAUUGACAUUGAACCCACAGAUAAAGUGGAACGAAUCAAGGAACGUGUGGAAGAGAAAGAGGGAAUCCCCCCACAGCAGCAGCGGCUCAUCUGCAGUGGUAAGCAGAUGAAUGAUGAGAAGACAGCAGCUGAUUAUAAAAUCCUAGGUGGUUCAGUCCUCCACCUGGUGUUGGCUCUAAGAGGAGGAGGUGGCUUUAGGCAGUGAUGGACCCUCUCUCCAUUUUACCUCCUUACCCUGUCUCUCGUGAUGAGGCAUCAUAUAUCCUGUCACUCUCUGGGACACCAGAGUCACUGCCCCCUCUCCUGGAUGCCCAGUCUUGUGUGUCUACGGGUAGGAGACUGUGAGGACCCCAGGAUGCAGUGUUCCUGUCCCAAAUGGCCCCUGCUGGCUAUUGGGUUUUAGUUUGCAGUCCUGUGUACUUCCCUCUCUUAUGGCUAUGUCCCUGGUUGUCAAUAAAAUAUUUCCUGGCC